CCUACGGGAGGCUGCAGUGAGGAAUAUUGGUCAAUGGGCGCGAGCCUGAACCAGCCAAGUAGCGUGAAGGAUGACUGCCCUACGGGUUGUAAACUUCUUUUAUAAAGGAAUAAAGUGAGGCACGUGUGCCUUUUUGAAUGUACUUUAUGAAUAAGGAUCGGCUAACUCCAUGCCAGCAGCCGCGGUAAUACGGAGGAUCCGAGCGUUAUCCGGAUUUAUUGGGUUUAAAGGGAGCGUAGUUGGGUUGUUAAGUCAGUUUUGAAAGUUUGCGGCUCAACCGUAAAAUUGCAAUUGAUACUGGCAGUCUUGAGUACAGUGGAGGUAGGCGGAAUUCGUGGUGUAGCGGUGAAAUGCUUAGAUAUCACGAAGAACUCUGAUUGCGAAGGCAGCUUACUAAACUGCCACUGACAUUGAUGCUCGAAAGUGUGGGUAUCAAACAGGAUUAGAUACCCUAGUAGUC
rnacentral:rRNA from 1 species